UACGUAGGGUGCAAGCGUUGUCCGGAAUUAUUGGGCGUAAAGAGCUCGUAGGCGGUUUGUCGCGUCUGCUGUGAAAACGCGAGGCUCAACCUCGCGCCUGCAGUGGGUACGGGCAGACUAGAGUGUGGUAGGGGAGAUUGGAAUUCCUGGUGUAGCGGUGGAAUGCGCAGAUAUCAGGAGGAACACCGAUGGCGAAGGCAGAUCUCUGGGCCAUUACUGACGCUGAGGAGCGAAAGCGUGGGGAGCGAUCCGG
rnacentral:rRNA from 1 species